rnacentral:rRNA from 1 species
CGGGUGAGUAACGCGUGGACAACCUGCCGUGUACAGGGGGAUAACAGCCGGAAACGGCUGCUAAUACCGCAUAUGCGCACAGUGCCGCAUGGCACAGGGCGGAAAACGACAGUGGUACACGAUGGGUCCGCGUCUGAUUAGAUAGUUGGCGGGGUAACGGCCCACCAAGUCGACGAUCAGUAGCCGGCCUGAGAGGGCGGACGGCCACACUGGGACUGAGACACGGCCCAGACUCCUACGGGAGGCAGCAG